GUCUUCUCAUUGAGCUCCUUUCUGUCUGCUGGUGACAGUUUAUGGAUUCGCACGAGAAGAAGAGUGUAUUCACAGAACAAGCAUUAUGUUACCUUCUGGUUUUACAUGGGGUGUUCUGUGAGACAUUU